rnacentral:rRNA from 1 species
GACGAACGCUGGCGGCGUGCCUAAUACAUGCAAGUCGAACGCAAAAGGCGGGGCUUGCUUCGCUGGAUGAGUUGCGAACGGGUGAGUAACGCGUAGGUAACCUGCCUGGUAGCGGGGGAUAACUUUAGGAAACGAUAGCUAAUACCGCAUAAGAGUUGAUGCUGCAUGACGUUGGCUUAAAAGGUGCAAUUGCAUCGCUACCAGACGGACCUGCGUUGUAUUAGCUUGUUGGUGGGGUUACGGCUCACCAAGGCGGCGAGACAUAGUCGCCCGGAGAGGGGGGGUAGCCACCCUGGGACUGUGACACGGCCCAGACUCCUAGGGGUGGGAGCCGUAGGGCAUCUUCGGGAAUGGGCGGAAAACUGACCGCGCAACGCCGCGUGAGUGAAGAAGGUUGUCGGGUCGUGAAGGUCUGUUUUCAGGUAGGAACGAGUGUGCGAGUGGAAAGUUCACAGAGUGACGGUAUCUGACCAGAAAGCGACGGCUAACUACGUG